UCUACAGUGCACGUGUCU
rnacentral:ncRNA from 3 species